rnacentral:lncRNA from 1 species
CCAGAAAUGCUUCAUUUCCACAUCUUAAAAUGCCGGGCUGGAUUUCCAGGGGAGGAUGCAAUUCUAUAAAUUGCCCAGCUUCUUCACAGCAAAGCAAAAUGUCACUGAACACCUCAGUGUGCAUAGACUUGACUAGGAGUUCCACCUCCUUCCUUUGGGGACCACCUGCAGCCUGCAUAAAGACAAGUAAAAAUUAGUAUUGCUCUGGAAAGUCUCAGCCAACAAAAGAAAAGUUAUUAAAAAUUGUUAGGGCAGAAGCAUCAUGACAUAGCUCUGAAAGAAAAUCAAGAGGGUUGGUGGUGAUUCUGGCAAUUGGACUGGUGCUAUAUGUUUUUCUCCUUGCCAUUCAAGAGCUGCAGAAACCUUUCACUCACCCCAGCCUGACCAAGAAGGCCAGUGGUGUCCUGAUAUGCAUUAGGAGCAGCAUUGCCAGAAGUUUGAGAAGGUGAACCUUUCCUUCUGCUCCUGGAGCAAGUUCUGUGUUUCUCAGUACAAGAGACAUGGAGAUUCUUGAUCCUCUAACACAUGUAUGUGAAGAUGAUUGGAGACUGAAAGACUUCAUUUAUGAGGAAAAUCUGAGGGAACUUGUCCUGUUUAGCCUGGAAAAUACUGAGAGAAGAGGAUGUAGAUAGACCCUUCUCUGUAGUGCCAAGCUAUAGGACAGGAGGCAAUGGGCAGAAACUGAUGCUCAGGAAGUUCCAGCAGAAUACGAAGACUUCUUUGCUAUGCUAGUGACAGUUAACUGGAACAGAUUGUCCAGAGAGGUUGUGGAGUCUCCCUCACUGAAGAUAUUCAAAAGCUGCCUAGACAAAAUCCUGAGCACUCUCUAUGGUAUUUUGCUUGCGCAGGGAGGUUGGACCAGAUGAUCUCCAGUGGUCCCUUCCAACCUUACCUGUUCUGUG